UUGUGAAUAGAUGGCGUCUGCAGAAUAAAUGCCAAUAGAAAAGAAAGUUACAUUUGGCCUCGAAUAUUUAGGUGGUUGAAUACUAGCAUCUAAAGCACAACACGCUGUGAAUGAGACGGAGGAGUCCAUUGAAUGACGUAUUUUUUCGUAGGGAUAAGGUUUAAGAGGAGGAGACUAGUUUUUGUUUACAAAACUGCAGGAGUUAGCCAAUUGUACAGACAAAGGAUACCGACGUGCUCUAAUUGUGACGAGCGCCUGUUGGCGAGCGCCAUCUGCUGGUUGAUAGACGGAGUUGACGCUGGUUAGACGUAGAGCAGAUCAGACGGAUCUGGACGAGAGAAAAGACGCGGCAGAUCAGACGGAUCUGGACGAGAGAAAAGACGUGGCAGAUCAGACGGAUCUGGACGAGAGUAAAGACGUGUCAGAUCAGACGGAUCUGGACGAAAGUAAAGACGAGACGCGACGUAUUCGACGAAAUCUACUGAAUGUUCAAUUCUUUUAUGUUAAUGUAUAUAUGUCCUAAAUGUAAUUAAAUGUGCGUUCUAAAAUA